UACGUAGGGGGCAAGCGUUGUCCGGAAUCAUUGGGCGUAAAGAGCUCGUAGGCGGCCUGUUACGUCUGCUGUGAAAUCCCGGGGCUUAACCCCGGGCGUGCAGUGGAUACGGGCAGGCUGGAGGCAGGCAGGGGAGAACGGAAUUCCCGGUGUAGCGGUGAAAUGCGCAGAUAUCGGGAGGAACACCGGUGGCGAAGGCGGCGAUCUGGGUCGAUACUGACGCUGAGGUGCGAAAGCGUGGGGAGCAAACAGG
rnacentral:rRNA from 1 species